rnacentral:misc_RNA from 1 species
UUUCUUGCCUCCUGUUAUAUAAAUGGUGAUUGGGAACUCGAAUCAAACCAUUUUGUUGAGAUACCUAUUAGCCCAGAAGAAUAUUUUCCAAAUAUGACAUUGCCAUAUUAAUGAACCAAUUUAAUGUUGUUAAUUCAAGGAAAUAGAGAUGUUUAUUUUGCAAAGAGUGGAGAAUGGUAAACUAUUAGAGUACAGAGGACAAAAAUAAUGUGUAGUUUGCAAGCACAAGAAUGAAUAUUCAAGGCUUUGACUUGUAACCCCAUGGAUUGUUGCUAGCCCAUUUCCAUUGGUCUCUGCACAUCUCCUCAAUGCCAUAUUUAGCCCUCCAAUUUAGUUCUUUGGCAGCUUUAUCUGUGGAAGCAUAAACAGCUGUAGCAUCUCCAGGCCUUCUUGGACACAACUUGAUAGGAAUUUUCUUGCCAGAAGCUUUUUCAAAUGCAGCAACCAUUUCAAGCACUGAUGUUCCACGUCCUGUACCCAAGUUGUAGGCUACACAACCUAUUUUCUCUGUUGUAAAAAGCUUCCGAAGAGCAGCAAUGUGGCCAUCUGCUAAGUCCAUAACAUGGAUGUAGUCUCGGAUCGCACUACCAUCCUUCGUGGGAUAAUCAUGACCAUAUACAUUGAGUUCAGGCAAUCUUCCAACAGCCACUUGUUGUAUGUAAGGCAUGAGAUUGUUUGGGAUACCCUUGGGAUCUUCACCAAGUUUACCACUCUCAUGUGCUCCUACAGGAUUGAAGUAUCUUAGUAAAAUGAUUCUCCAUUCUGGUUCUGCCUUCUGAAUAUCUCGAGAAAUUUCUUCAAGGAAAAGCUUAGUUCUUCCAUAAGGGUUCAUUGCCAUUAACUGGAAAUCUUCAACACAUGGUAUUUUGUCAGGUUGCCCAUAAACAGUUGCAGAAGAUGAGAAUACCAUCUAUUUUUGGGUCCCAUGAAAAAAGUCAAAAAGCAAACCUUCGUUUCAAUAGUGGGAAAAGCAUUAGAAUCAUCUGUGCUAACAAGAAAUAAAAGCCAUAACUAUGGGUAAUGACUGAACAUUCAAGAAAUAUAAAGUCAUUCAGUAACUUUUGCUGUCAGGCAAGCCAAAACUGCAGUCUUGACUCCUUUUCCUAGCCUAGAAUUGAACGGUAAAAAAGAGGAACAACUGGCUUAUUUCCGUAAGUAAACUCUCUGCCUCACUGCCCAAUUGUUAUACAGACAUGUAAAGAUAUAACAAUAUAUCACUAAUGAUAUAGUCCUCUAUAGUUGUAUGUUUCUAAUCUUGAGAACCUAGAUAUAUCACAAACAUAAACACAUAAUUAGCAUGUGCAUUGAAAGUUGAUCAUCAGUAGUAGAUUAUACAUAGUCAUGGAUUAGUGUCAACAGUCAGAAAUAAUUUACAAAAGAUAAAAACUAAAACACUAAUUACCUUCUUACAGUUAUAUUUUGCCAUGACCUCGUACAGGUUGAUAGUGCCAAUCAAAUUAUUGUCAAAAUAACGACGAGGAUUUGCAACACUCUCCCCAACUGCCUUUAGGCCAGCAAAAUGGAUCACAGCAUCAAAUUUAGUCCCAGAAAACAACUUCUCCAAAUCAUCCUUGUUCCUAAUGUCACCCUUAUUGAAUUGUAGUUUUUCAGAAAGCUGAGGACCCACCAAUUCCCUGACCCUAUCAACAGCUUCAGUAACAGAAUUAUCAAGAUUGUCAAUGACUGAAACCCUAAAACCUUCUUUAAGAAGCUGUACUACAGUAUGGCUGCCAAUGAACCCAGCCCCACCAGUCACAAGAAUUGUUUUCUCAGCCAUUACUAAAAAGCCAAAUGCCCAAGAAACUGAUCAGAGACAGAGGGGAAGCAAGAUUGGAGAGAGAAAACAGAGAAUUAACACUAGGGAAGAUAAGUGUGGGUGUCUAUAUAAAAGGAAAGAACAAUUUUGUAUUUUGAGCAAAUCAAGGAGAGUUGAUUUGGGAUAAGAAUUUCAAGAACAAAAAGGCAGCUGCAGCUUUU